rnacentral:tRNA from 1 species
GACCAGAUAGCCUAGUGGUUGAAGGCAGCACAUCUAGUGAUUCUGAGGUCCUGGGUUCAAAUUUCAGUCUGGUCA